CAGUCGCCGCGGGAAUACAGAGGGUGCGAGCGUUAAUCGGAUUUACUGGGCGUAAAGCGUGCGUAGGCGGCUUCUUAAGUCGGUUGUGAAAUCCCUGAGCUUAACUUAGGAAUUGCAUUCGAUACUGGGAAGCUAGAGUAUGGGAGAGGAUGGUAGAAUUCCAGGUGUAGCGGUGAAAUGCGUAGAGAUCUGGAGGAAUACCGAUGGCGAAGGCAGCCAUCUGGCCUAAUACUGACGCUGAGGUACGAAAGCAUGGGGAGCAAACAGGAUUAGAUACCCCUGUAGUCCCUGUCUCUUAUAC
rnacentral:rRNA from 1 species